GGCAGAGGGUGCAACCGUUGCUCGGAAUUACUGGGCGUAAAGCGCGUGUAGGCGGACCACCAAGUCGGACGUGAAAGCCCUGAGCUCAACUCAGGAACUGCAUCCGAAACUGGCGGUCUGGAGUAGUGGAGAGGAAAGCAGAAUUCCUGGUGUAGAGGUGAAAUUCGUAGAUAUCAGGAGGAACACCGGUGGCGAAGGCGGCUUUCUGGACACUUACUGACGCUGAGACGCGAAAGCGUGGGGAGCAAACAGG
rnacentral:rRNA from 1 species